UGGGGAAUAUUGGACAAUGGACCACAAGUCUGAUCCAGCAAUUCUGUGUGCACGAUGACGUUUUUCGGAAUGUAAAGUGCUUUCAGUCGGGAAGAAGUCAGUGACGGUACCGACAGAAGAAGCGACGGCUAAAUACGUGCCAGCAGCCGCGGUAAUACGUAUGUCGCAAGCGUUAUCCGGAUUUAUUGGGCGUAAAGCGCGUCUAGGCGGCAAGGAAAGUCUGAUGUGAAAAUGCGGAGCUCAACUCCGUAUGGCGUUGGAAACUGCCUUACUAGAGUACUGGAGAGGUAGGCGGAACUACAAGUGUAGAGGUGAAAUUCGUAGAUAUUUGUAGGAAUGCCGAUGGGGAAGCCAGCCUACUGGACAGAUACUGACGCUAAAGCGCGAAAGCGUGGGUAGCAAACAGG
rnacentral:rRNA from 2 species